GUUUGAAGUCUGACUGGGAAACUAGUCAUUCAAAUAAAGAAACACUCUGCAGCAAACUUAUGCUAGUUAACAUAAACUAGGGAAUAAUGAAUCUUUUGCAGGCCACGUCAAAACGCAAGUCCAUCUCGGACCUUAUCAAGCCCGACAUAUCCCAACAGACCAACUAAACUGAGUACCAGAAGUUAAACCAUUCAAAGUUGUAUUUCCAAACUCAAGAGAAAAACAAUAAAUAAGAAACACUAGUGAUGGCAGUCCAUUAUGAACAGCCCCAAUUUGACACCACAACACAGACUUCAUGCGCGCCGAAACAAAAUCCUGCUGAAUAUCAUUGUUUUCCGUCUAUCAAUCAAUUCAAAGGUUAAAGAAAGGUAUCUAAAAAUAGCAUGUACAUUAGGAGUUUUUUGGAAUUCAAACAUAAUUAAUCCCUCCAACCAUCUAAUAUGGUUGUGCAGUCUUUGACUGGAUAUAGAAUUUUAAGAUGCUAAUUGGACGUAAAUAAUCCCUCCAACCAUCUAAUAUGGUUGUGCAGUCUUUGACUGGAUAUAGAAUUUAAGAUGUUAAUUGGACUUUGCAUUACAUUAAUAGUAGAGAAUGGUAUAACCUUGGUAGACACCCUAACUUUAAUAUUUGAAUAGGUGAAGGUUUUUGAAUCUUGAAAAUUGUGAAAGUUGGAACUUAUCAACAUAAAUUGCAUCAGUUGUGUAGGAUAAUAUUAUUUGUAGAGUGGUUUAAAAUAUUUUGGACGUACCAAAAUAGAAAAAGUGCCAUGUAAAUUUGGACAUCAGGGAUAACUUGGCUACUAGGAUAAGUUAAGACAAUCAAUGCCCACA
rnacentral:lncRNA from 1 species